AGACCCGUGGUGUAACGGCAGCACUCGUGGUUUUGGUCCACGCAGUCUAGGUUCGAAUCCUAGCGGGUCUG
rnacentral:tRNA from 1 species